rnacentral:tmRNA from 1 species
GGGGAUGUAAUGGUUUCGACGGGGUACGGAAGCCAUGAGGUUCGCAGGCCAAGGGUCAUGAAGCCUUAAGCUUGACCGGCAAAAUUCAACUGACGAAGCUGAAUACGCAUACGCUGCUUGAGCCUAGGCUCUGCAGCCCCUCUGGAAGUACAAGCCAUCUGCCAACCCGGAGGUUUCAAAUAAAGAUGGAUGCUUUCCUGCUUCUAAGAAAGUAGGUGGUGGAGAACUCUGAAUCCUUGGGAUUCGCUCCUAUGUUGCCUGCAUGCUCAGGCUAUUGCGAUAGUGCCUUAUGAUGUGGAUGUAUUUCGGACAGGAGUUCGAUUCUCCUCAUCUCCACCA